CAGGAAUGCUAGCUAGGCUGAGUGUCUGAGCAAAUGUGGACAGCCAAAGGGAGCCUUGGCCAAAACUCUUCUCUCCUCUGUCUCCAGGAAUUGGAAGUGUCCCACUGAGGUGUCACCAUGAGACCCACCCAUCGGAGCCAGGCUUUGAAGGAACUGACCGCAGUGUGCAUGAGGAAGUACUUCACGGUGAUGACCCUCGCCACCCUCUCAGGAAAACACAGUGACCUCUCCCCCAACAUCCCCUUCCCACUCCCAGGUCCCCCGGCAAAGGCAGAAGAACCAAGCAAGCCUUUCCACCAAAGCAGCCAUGAACCCCAUUCUCAUCCUUUCCAAGAACUCUCUGCUAUACCAGAUAGGGGUUUGGGGUUCUGUUUUCCAUUUUUUAAAAAAAUCAUUUCAAGACUCUUGAACAGUGUGUCGGUUUACACUAUUCUAUCUUCUUAAGCCACCAUAUCAACAUAUUCACUCUGCUUCCUUUCUUUUCAUUUGGCAGAUGCCACACUUUUAAUGGCAGCAAUAAAAGGUGUUU
rnacentral:lncRNA from 1 species